AUCUAUUGGAUGGUCUUAUUGGUACUAUAGUAUUGCCAGUCUAAUCUAUUGGAUGGUCUUAUAGGUACUAUAGUAUUGCCAGUCUAAUCUAUUGGAUGGUCUUAUUGGUACUAUAGUAUUGCCAGUCUAAUCUAUUGGAUGGUCUUAUAGGUACUAUAGUAUUGCCAGUCUAAUCUAUUGGAUGGUCUUAUAGGUACUAUAGUAUUGCCAGUCUAAUCUAUUGGAUGGUCUUAUAGGUACUAUAGUAUUGCCAGUCUAAUCUAUUGGAUGGUCUUACAGGUACUAUAGUAUUGCCAGUCUAAUCUAUUGGAUGGUCUUAUAGGUACUAUAGUAUUGCCAGUCUAAUCUAUUGGAUGGUCUUAUAGGUACUAUAGUAUUGCCAGUCUAAUCUAUUGGAUGGUCUUAUAGGUACUAUAGUAUUGCCAGUCUAAUCUAUUGGAUGGUCUUAUAGGUACUAUAGUAUUGCCAGUCUAAUCUAUUGGAUGGUCUUAUUGGUACUAUAGUAUUGCCAGUCUAAUCUAUUGGAUGGUCUUAUAGGUACUAUAGUAUUGCCAGUCUAAUCUAUUGGAUGGUCUUAUAGGUACUAUAGUAUUGCCAGUCUAAUCUAUUGGAUGGUCUUAUAGGUACUAUAGUAUUGCCAGCCUAAUCUAUUGGAUGGUCUUAUAGGCACUAUAGUAUUGGAUGGUCUUAUAGGUACUAUAGUAUUGGAUGGUCUUAUAGGCACUAUAGUAUUGGAUGGUCUUAUAGGCACUAUAGUAUUGGAUGGUCUUAUAGGUACUAUAGUAUUGGAUGGUCUUACAGGUACUAUAGUAUUGGAUGGUCUUAUAGGUACUAUAGUAUUGGAUGGUCUUACAGGUACUAUAGUAUUGGAUGGUCUUAUAGGUACUAUAGUAUUGGAUGGUCUUAUAGGUACUAUAGUAUUGCCAGUCUAAUCUAUUGGAUGGUCUUAUAGGUACUAUAGUAUUGCCAGUCUAAUCUAUUGGAUGGUCUUAUAGGUACUAUAGUAUUGACAGCCUAAUCUAUUGGAUGGUCUUAUAGGUACUAUAGUAUUGCCAGUCUAAUCUAUUGGAUGGUCUUAUAGGUACUAUAGUAUUGCCAGUCUAAUCUAUUGGAUGGUCUUAUAGGUACUAUAGUAUUGGAUGGUCUUAUAGGUACUAUAGUAUUACCAGUCUAAUCUAUUGGAUGGUCUUAUAGGUACUAUAGUAUUGGAUGGUCUUAUAGGUACUAUAGUAUUACCAGUCUAAUCUAUUGGAUGGUCUUAUUGGUACUAUAGUAUUGGAUGGUCUUAUAGGUACUAUAGUAUUGGAUGGUCUUAUAGGUACUAUAGUAUUACCAGUCUAAUCUAUUGGAUGGUCUUAUAGGUACUAUAGUAUUGGAUGGUCUUAUAGGUACUAUAGUAUUACCAGUCUAAUCUAUUGGAUGGUCUUAUUGGUACUAUAGUAUUGGAUGGUCUUAUAGGUACUAUAGUAUUGGAUGGUCUAAUAGGUACUAUAGUAUUGGAUGGUCUUAUAGGUACUAUAGUAUUGCCAGUCUAAUCUAUUGGAUGGUCUUAUAGGUACUAUAGUAUUGCCAGUCUAAUCUAUUGGAUGGUCUUAUAGGUACUAUAGUAUUGCCAGUCUAAUCUAUUGGAUGGUCUUAUAGGUACUAUAGUAUUGGAUGGUCUUAUAGGUACUAUAGUAUUGCCAGUCUAAUCUAUUGGAUGGUCUUAUAGGUACUAUAGUAUUGGAUGGUCUUAUAGGUACUAUAGUAUUGCCAGUCUAAUCUAUUGGAUGGUCUUAUAGGUACUAUAGUAUUGCCAGUCUAAUCUAUUGGAUGGUCUUAUAGGUACUAUAGUAUUGCCAGCCUAAUCUAUUGGAUGGUCUUAUAGGU